UACCAGCACCCCGAGUGGUCGGGACGAUUAUUGGGCCUAAAGCAUCCGUAGCCGGUUCUACAAGUCUUCCGUUAAAUCCACCUGCUUAACAGAUGGGCUGCGGAGGAUACUAUAGAGCUAGGAGGCGGGAGAGGCAAGCGGUACUUAGUGGGUAGGGGUAAAAUCCGUUGAUCCAUUGAAGACCACCAGUGGCGAAGGCGGCUACCUGGCCCAAUACUGACACUCAGGUGCGACAGCGUGGGGAGCAAACAGG
rnacentral:rRNA from 1 species